rnacentral:rRNA from 1 species
UACGAGGGGGGCAAGCGUUGUUCGGAAUUAUUGGGCGUAAAGGGCGCGUAGGCGGUGCGGUAAGUCACCUGUGAAAACUCUGGGCUCAACUCAGAGCCUGCAGGCGAAACUGCCGUGCUGGAGUGUGGGAGAGGUGCGUGGAAUUCCCGGUGUAGCGGUGAAAUGCGUAGAUAUCGGGAAGAACACCUAUGGCGAAGGCAGCUCUCUGGGACGGUACUGACGCUGAGACGCGAAAGCGUGGGGAGCGAACAGG